GCCCGCCUAGCUCAAUCGGAUAGAGCAUCAGACUUUUAUCUAGGCGGAUUGAUCUGAAGGCUGCGAGUUCGACCCUCGCGGUGGGCU